UAGGGAAUCUUCCGCAAUGGGCGAAAGCUUGACGGAGCAACGCCGCGUGAGUGAUGAAGGUUUUCGGAUCGUAAAACUCUGUUAUUAGGGAAGAACAAAUGUGUAAGUAACUAUGCACGUCUUGACGGUACCUAAUCAGAAAGCCACGGCUAACUACGUGCCAGCAGCCGCGGUAAUACGUAGGUGGCAAGCGUUAUCCGGAAUUAUUGGGCGUAAAGCGCGCGUAGGCGGUUUUUUAAGUCUGAUGUGAAAGCCCACGGCUCAACCGUGGAAGGUGCGUGGAAACUGGAAAACUUGAGUGCAGAAGAGGAAAGUGGAAUUCCAUGUGUAGCGGUGAAAUGCGCGUGGAUAUGGGGGAACACCAGUGGCGAAGGCGACUUUCUGGUCUGUAACUGACGCUGAUGUGCGAAAGCGUGGGGAUCAAACAGG
rnacentral:rRNA from 1 species